GGGAAGAGAAAGGGAGGAAAGGGAGUGGAGAAGGCCACACACAAUCUUAAAUUCAAUAUUUCACUCCCCUUAAAGAUAAGCUGUUUAUAAGCUCCAGUGUAGGGCAUGUAAUUCUAUGUAAAAACUCUGUGGUUCCUCUUUCCACAUGUAAAUCAUGAUCAUUCUACAUUCUGCUCUCUGGGAGCCCUCAAGGCAAAGAGACAACACGGCUCGAGACCACAGAAAGGACUUAUCACAAGUCUUUGUGGUAGCUGAGGAGUGCCCCCUACAGACUGAUAUGCACAAUGCAAGCAGAUGAAGAGGAAAGAAUUGAGCAGCAGUGUUUCAGGAUUCUCAAUAAGGCAUCAAUGAAAAAAGUUACAACCUCAUAGAUCCUCUUUCAAUGAUGUGCACAAGUAGAUGAGAAAAGUUAACCAAGUCUGAGAGGUGAAAUGACUUGCCAAAGAUCACUUACAGAUAUUGGAGACAAGACAGGAAACAAGAGGUGCCUCAUUUCAAAGCCCUUUCUAUCUAAACCACUUUGAUUUUUCCUCCUCUUGAAUAUGCCCUGCUCUGGAAAGUGUGUAAUCACGUUCCCAAACUAUGCAUACAGAAAACAAGGGAUGUGCUAUGUAACAGCAAAAGUUUAAGGUCCUCAUCCCUCUAACGCUUAUGCCUCUUUUCUUUGACAUCUACCACUUAUUUGUCUCAAAGUUUCAUUCCACAAAGUCUGGAUUUUAAUUUUAGACUUUCAUGACACACCUCUUCCUGCCUAAUCACAUAACCAUUAUUAUAUCUUAAUUUAUUAAGAUAUAAUAUUUAUGUCUUAAAUUACUAAAAUGGUUCAAAACAAAAGCAGUUAAACCUCAUCAUAGGCAAACUCAAAAAAUUGUUUAUAGUUCACAAACCUGAUGCUAUCCAUACAAAAUAAAAUUAAAGCAUUUUAUUAAUGGUUUAUUGCUUCCAAAAAAUCCCAUACCAAGUGUGCUGCCUGUGAGAAUCUACAAAGACAUAAAAUCACAAAUUGCAGGAAUCCCAUUCUGUGGAAGAUAUCAAUUCAAAAGAGUAAGGCCUAGUUUUUUUUCUGGCAAUGGAAGUUUAAUAGAUGUUGAAUGAUAUAAAAAACAAUGCACUAAAAAGUAAUUAUUAUUUUUCCUUUGGUGAGGAAUACUAUUUAAACAUACACGUGUGUGUGUGUGUGUGUAUGUGUGUGCAUGUGUAGUAUGUGUUUGCUUUUCAUAAAGCCUCUAAAUAAAAUUGGAGAGUGUACAAUCCAGGAAGCUCUAAUGUCAAUCUUUAUUUUACAGGCACCAAAAUGUAUAUCAGAAGAAAUUGUCAUUCAUCAUGACACUUCACAUGUACUGCAUUGUUUUAAUAGAAAAAUCUAAAGUUUCAUUAUGUUAAUGUUGAGCAAUGAAAAUAAAACAUCAUAAAAAAAUAAGCACUUUUUGGUGAUUGGCUACAGCAAUUUUCUGUCAGCUUCGAGCACGAUAAAAGCAUACUGAAUGGAGAUAGAACAAACACCAGGAAUCCAGCAGCACCAAAAAUGUUUUACUGGAUCCCUGCAAAUCUAG